rnacentral:lncRNA from 1 species
UAUUGAUUGAAGAUUGAACCUAAGGAUGCUCAACCACUUGAACCACAUCCCCAGCCAUUUUUAUUUAUUUAUUUAUUUUGGUGAUGCUGGGGAUUGAACCCAGGGCUUUGUGUAUAUGAGGCAAGCAUUCUACCAACUGAGCUAUAUUCCCAGCCCUUCUUAAUUUUUAUUUUGAGACAGGGCCUCAUUACAUUUUUUAGGACCUUGCUGAGUUGCUGGGGCUGGCUUUUGAACUGGUGAUCCUUCUACCUCAGCUUGCUUAGCCACUGGGAUUACAGGUGUGCACCACUGUGCUCAGCUAAAUAGGAUUUUUAAAAAAUUUAUUUAUUCUAAUUAGGUAUAUAUGAUAGUAAAUAAGAUUUUUAACUUAAUUUUAUUUUGUUGGUGCUGGGAAUUGAAUCGAGGGCCUUGUGCAUGCUAUACAAGUGCUCUACUGCUGAGCUACACCCCCCAGCCCUCGCCCUGCUUGUUUCUAUCUCUUGACAUUUGAAUUAUGGGGCUACCAGUCUCCUGAGAAUCAGCUCUAAAUCUCCUAUGUGACUAUUGCAGUUACAUGUAGAAAGAGGACAAAGGGUCUUUCCCUUAAUAAUGCAGACGUACACUGAUUAUUCCUGCUUCUAUCUCUGUAUCACCCACUGUGUCUGCCUGGUAUUACCAGGUUCAAAGCAGUUGAAGGUUCAUUUUCUCC